AUAGUUAAUACUCGAGUAUUUACAAAUCACUUGCGAGCUUACCAUGUACCAAAUGCCGAGGAUAAUGGUGCCCGUCCGUACAUGACAACAGAGGCAGCAGCUCGUUGUGUACCAUCUGUCCCACGGUGAAAUCAUCUUUCUACUUUAAAAUAAGCCCAGGUAUAAUAUGUAGAGUCGUAAGUAAGGAAAUGAAGUCGGUCAUAAGCCGGUUAUAAGCGGUAAAUGUGUCCGGUUGGUCGUGUACAGCGCGCUCAGUUUUCACUGCAAUCAGCUCAGCAGCUCCGUCCCUCAACAUUAAUGCAGCUUAGCUCCACAUCCACGUGACCGGACGGCGGGGAUUGGAGCUCAGAUCAGGACGAGAAGAGAUGGCACCAGGAUGCACUGUAGGACAACCCACCUUGUAAAAAACAGAACCUGAAGAACCAGCUGCUGGAACUGAGGGCUGCUCCGCCUGCUGGCUGACAAUUCGACCACCUCCAGGGCUUCCUGACUCAUCUCCAGGACCCUUCUCUUUCUUGCGCUGCUGACGCUUUUCUCGGUUACUGAUUUUUGUCUCCC